rnacentral:lncRNA from 1 species
GGAGAAGAGACCCUUCUCUUCUCUUGCACACCACCUCUCUCUUUCUUUUUCACCUUAGCACACAAUCUAUUUGUUCUUCUUUGAUGGUUAGAGGUCUUCUCUAUUUAUAGAUAAUUUUUCAUGAUCCAAUAGACUUGGAGUCCUAAUUCAAAUUAGCUUUGAAUUAAUUCUUCCUUUAUCUAACUAGGAAUCCUAUUUGAGAUAGGAUAAGAACCUAACUAGGUGCCCUCAUGCACCCAUGCCUACACCCAAGUGUGGGGUGGCAAUAACCAACACCCCAUCCCCUU